GAGUUGCUCAGUUGGCAGAGCAUGAGACUCUUAAUUUCAGGGCUAUGGAUUUGAGCGCCACGUUGGGCA